GAGCAAAUCUCAAAAAUAACGUCUCAGUUCGGAUUGUAGUCUGCAACUCGACUACAUGAAGCUGGAAUCGCUAGUAAUCGCGAAUCAGAAUGUCGCGGUGAAUACGUUCCCGGGUCUUGUACACACCGCCCGUCACACCAUGGGAGUCGGAUAUGCCCGAAGUCAGUGACCCAACCUUUUGGAGGGAGCUGCCGAAGGUGGAGCCGAUAACUGGGUGAAGUCGUAACAAGGUACC
rnacentral:rRNA from 1 species